rnacentral:snRNA from 1 species
GCUGUGGCAACACACACCCUACCAAAAUCUGAUGGACACAGAGAUUAGCAUGGCUUCUGUGCAAGUAUCAUACACAAAUUUGAGAAAAAUUUUCCAUAUAU